GAUGAACGCUGGCGGCGUGCCUAAUACAUGCAAGUCGAGCGAACAGACGAGGAGCUUGCUCCUCUGACGUUAGCGGCGGACGGGUGAGUCACACGUGGAUAACCUACCUAUAAGACUGGGAUAACUUCGGGAAACCGGAGCUAAUACCGGAUAAUAUAUUGAACCGCAUGGUUCAAUAGUGAAAGACGGUUUUGCUGUCACUUAUAGCUGGAUCCGCGCCGCAUUAGCUGGUUGGUAAGGUAACGGCUUACCAAGGGGACGAUGCGUAGCCGACCUGAGGGGGUGAUCGGCCACACUGGAACUGAGACACGAUCCAGACUCCUACGGGAGGCAGCAGUAGGGAAUCUUCCGCAAUGGGCGAAAGCUUGACGGAGCAACGCCGCGUGAGUGAUGAAGGUCUUCGGAUCGUAAAACGCUGUUAUUAGGGAAGAACAAAUGUGUAAGUAACUAUGCACGUCUUGACGGUACCGAAUCAGAAAGCCACGGCUAACUACGU
rnacentral:rRNA from 1 species